GGCUCCUACGGGGGGCAGCAGUGAGGAAUAUUGGUCAAUGGGCGGGAGCCUGAACCAGCCAAGUCGCGUGAGGGAUGACGGUCCUACGGAUUGUAAACCUCUUUUGCCGGGGAGCAAGCGUGCGUUCGUGAACGCGCGUCGAGAGUACCCGGAGAAAAAGCAUCGGCUAACUCCGUGCCAGCAGCCGCGGUAAUACGGAGGAUGCGAGCGUUCUCCGGAUUUAUUGGGUUUAAAGGGUGCGUAGGCGGAUCGUUAAGUCAGUGGUCAAAUUGAGGGGCUCAACCCCUUCCCGCCAUUGCAACUGG
rnacentral:rRNA from 1 species